GAUGAAGAACGCAGCGAAAUGCGAUAAGUAAUGUGAAUUGCAGAAUUCAGUGAAUCAUCGAAUCUUUGAACGCACAUUGCGCCCGCCAGUAUUCUGGCGGGCAUGCCUGUUCGAGCGUCAUUUCAACCAUCAAGCCCCCGGCUUGUGUUGGGGACCUGCGGCUGCCGCAGGCCCUGAAAACCAGUGGCGGGCUCGCUAGUCACUCCGAGCGUAGUAAUACAUCUCGCUCAGGGCGUGCUGCGGGUUCCGGCCGUUAAAAGCCUUAUUUACCCAAGGUUGACCUCGGAUCAGGUAGGAAGACCCGCUGAACUUAAGCAUAUCAAUAAGCGAGGA
rnacentral:misc_RNA from 1 species